CAUAACAACGGGGUCAGAGGUCACGGCUCUGGCGUCCGCCCCGCCCCGCCGCCACCGCCACCGCGCGCCGCUUUCCCCAGCUCAGGCCUUGGGCCUCCUUGCUGAACAGCCGCCGUUGCGAGGAAACAAUGAAGUUAAGAAAGAGAAAAAUUGACUCGGAGUGUAGGAUAUUCAAAGAACAGCGGACUUAUGAUUACUUUUUCAUGCUUUACAAGGAAACAGCUGUGUAUUUAAUAUGCCAGAAUAUUGUGUCUGUGUUCAAAGAAUACAAUUUGUGUUGAUACUAUCAAACUCAACAUAAAGAUAAAUAUGAUUGUUUGGUUGGAGAUGUGAGAAAAGAUAAAAUAUUAAAACUGAAAAAUACAUUGACAACUCAGCAAAAUACUUUUGUGAAGCAGAAGCAGGUAAAUAUUUCAUUGCUGUGAGCAAGUUUUCAAGUUGCCAAGCUAAUAGCGUGCACUGGCAGACCAUUUGUGGAGGGAGAAUUUGUUCAAGAGUGCCUUCUUUCUGUUGCCAAAGAGAUGUGUACAGAAAAGGCAGACUUAUUUAGUACAGUUAGUCUUUUAGGAUCUACAAUUAAACGAAGGAUUGAAAUGCAAUUUGCAUCAGCAUUUGCAAAACUCCGCAAGAAAACUUUCCUAUUUUUCCUUGGCAUUCAAUGAGAGCAAUGAUGUUCAUGAUUCUGCACAACUUCUAAUUUUUAUUUGUGAGACAAAUGACAAUUUCGAAGUCACAGAAGAGCUUGCUGCACUGCAAAGCAUCAAAGAAACAACUACAGGAGAGGAUAUCUAUGAAAAGGUUUCCCAAACUGUGAAGGAUUUGGAGCUGGACUGGGCUAAACUAGCCAGUGUGACAACUGAUGGUGCUCUUAGCAUGGUGAAGUCUAAGAAAGAAGUAAUUGCUCGCAUUAACCAAGAGAUGAACAAACAUAACCAUUCUCAUCCAAUAGCCAUACACUGCCUCAUCCACCAACAAGCUCUGCUAUGUAGUAAAUCACUGAAGAGGAACUCUGUUAUGAAAAUUGUGGUAUCUUGUGUUAACUUCAUUAGAGCUAAUGUACUAAACCACAGACAAUUUUAGGAAUUUCUGUCUAAGCUAAAUGUUGUCUAUGAAGAUGUUCUGUACCACACAAAAGUCUGUUGACUGAGUCAAGGAAGAGUUUUGAGACAUUUCUAUGACUUACUAACACACAUUACAGGUUUUAUGCUUUCAAAAAACAAAGAAGUACCAGAUCUCAAUGAUGCAGAAUGGAAAUGGCACCUCACAUUUCUGACAGAUGCAACAGAGCUACUCAACAGUUUCAAUGUGCAAAUCACAUAUGAAAGCAUUUGAAGUAAAAUUAGGCCUCCUUGUCAAACAAGUGAAGGAGGAAAAUUUCUGCCAUGUCCCCUUAACUCAAAAUCUGUUAGCGGAAAAACCCUUGAUUGCAUUCCCAAAAGAAACGUGUGGAUUCAUUGGAAAAGUUGCAAAAGGAGUUUCAAUUCAGAUUUAAAAAGCUUAAUCUCCAUGAACAGGGCAUACAGCUUUUCUGUAACCCAUUUUCUAGUGACACUGAAAAUAUGGAUACAAUUUACCAAAUGGAACUGGCUGAACUGCAGAAUUGUGACUCUGAAAGAUGCAUUCAAGUCAAGCAGCUUGCCUAAUUUCUAUGCAUCUCUCCCCUCUGAUACAUACCCUAGUCUCAGGAACCAUGCACUCAAAAUGGCACAACCAUCUUUGGCAGCACUUAUGUCUAUGAACAGACUUUUUCCAGAAUGAAACAUCUGAAAUCUCCAACCAGAUCUAGACUAACUGAUGCACACUUGCAUCACUUAUUACAACUAGCAGUGACAAAUACGGAACCAGACAUUGACCAUCUCAUUAGCCAAAAGCAGGCCUGUAGUUCCCAUUGAAAUACUGGUCAGUUUGUUGAUUUAAAUUUACUUGUUCUUUAUUUUAAAUAUUGUAUUUGUUCCCAUUUUGUUUUUUUACUUUAAAAUAAGAUAUGUACAGUGUGCAUAGGGCUUUGUUUAUAGUUUGUUUGUUUGUUUGUUUUUUAUAGUCCAGCCCUCCAACGGUCUGAGGGACAGUGAACUGGCCCCCUGUGUAAAAAAUUUGGGGACCCCUGCUAUAUUCUAUAAGAAAUAAUGAAUAGGAAGAACUCAAGAGCAGCAUAUGAAUCACUAAUGCUGAGUAAAAUAAACAGAACCAGAAAAACAAUAUACAGUGUCUACAACAAUGUAAAUGGACAGAACAAAGAAACUAAAACUGGAUGCUGUAUAAUUAUAAUGGCCAAGAUUGUCUGUGAGAACAGAAGGGCGUAUGCACCUUCUUUCCUUCUUUGCAUAACUGGGAGAUCUCUGUCUGUGAAACAUCCCAUAUAUUGCCAAACUGCAUUGAUGUGUUGGUUUGUUUUAUUGACUUGCUAUUUUUCUCUUUUUUAUUCUUUGUUACAAGAAAUAGCUAAAUGGGAAUGGAACAGAUAUGUUUGGCAAUAAAGGUGAUAUAAAAAUAAAUGAUAUAAAAAUGAAAAAACAUACAUCUAUUCAUUUGAUGAGAUUCUUCAUUAAAAGGUUGAACCCUAAAUGAUGAAUUUUUGCCAAUAAUAAUUCAUGAAACUACUAUGUCAUGUAAGAACUAUGAUCCUUAUUAAAGGAGCUUGAAACUAGAGGUCAUCUGGUCCAAUGAAGCUCAGAGAGGUAAGUAAUUUGUCCACAUUUAUAGAAGUGACAGCAUCAGGAUUCAAACUGGAGUCUAUUAUCUCUAAUCCAGUGCCAAUAUCACUGGUCUUUUAAGUAUUCAAGCAAUCAUUUGUCUGAUAUUUAUCAAGCUCUGCCUUAGCAUAGAUUAUUUUGUUUAAUGGAUGAAUUAUCAGCAUCCUUCACUGAUAUAAAACUAGGGCAUAAAAGUCUUAAGCCAUUAAUAAGUAAAGUAAAGGGGAUACAAUAAGGAAUAAACAAAGACCAUGGAGCUUAGAGUCUAAUACAGAAGUGAACCCGGUAUGGUAGGUGACCUUCCAUAUCAGUUGAAUUUCUGUGACCUAGAAAUUUAUUACCUAGUAAUAUUAUAGUAAUAUGCCUCUUCCAGUUUAGCCUCUAGAUUCAAAGUCUUUACAGUUUUGUUGAACCUGCCAGAGUUUGUGUUCCAGGUAUGGACGUCAAGAGCUACUGUCACAACACCACCAUGAUUAGAUACCACUAGAGUGAAGAAUUACAGUUAGACACAUACACAAAUGAAUAUAAUAGAAUGUAUAAUCUGAAUGUGGAAUAAUAAUUUCAGUUAUACAUGUAUUUUAUAGUAAUUCUAAAGAAUUUUAUUGUAGCAAGCCCUCAUCACCUCAUUGGCAGUAUCUCUGCAGUAGCCUGCUGGUGAGUCUCUGCCUGAAGGUUCUCCCCACUCUGGUCCAUACUUCACUUCUCAGUUAAAAUUACCUUCUUAUAUCACAUACAUUCAUUUAGUAAACCCUAAUGGCUUCCUAUUGCCUCCAAAAUUAAACAUAAAUUCCUUUCUUGCUUUUAAAGCUCUUCAUAACCUAGCCCUUUACUACUUGACUAGUCUUAUUCUUUACUCCCUUAUACAUACUCUGCAAUCCAGUAACACUAAUGUCCUUCUCCUUGCAUAAGAUAUUCCAUCUUCCAAGUGUUUUCACUAAUUGCCUCUAGUCCUAGAAUACUGUCCCUCCUUAUCCCUGCCUCAUAGCUUUAAGUCUCAGCUAAAGUCCCACCUUCUUCAACAUACCUUUUCUCUGUCUCCUUAAUGUUCGUAUCUUCCCUCUGAGACAACCCCCAUGUGUAUCUAUCUUAUUUGUACAUCAUUUUGACAUGUUGUCUUCCCAUUAGACUGUGUGCUCCUCGAGAGCAGAGAAAGUGUUUUUACCUUUCUUUGUAUUCCUUGCACUUACUACAGUACCUCGAACAUCAAGGUGUUUAAUAAAUAUUUGUUAAUUGACUGACUAAACCUAAUUUUUCAACUAAAAGAAGCCCUUAAAGUUAAUUCUGUUUUCUCUUUUUGUUUUUAAACCCUUACCUAAGAACUAGAAACUCUUUAAGGGAGUGUUCUUUCCUUGGGAUUGGCUAAACAAAUGAUGGUAUGUAAAUGUAAUGGAAUACCAUUGUGCUAUAAGAAAUGAAAGAGAUGAUUUCAGAGAAACAUGGGAAUGUGGAGUAGCAGAACCAGAAGAAAAAUUAUAUUAAUAUAUAGUAAAAAAUAACUUGAAGGACUUGUGAACUUUGAUUAAUGCAGUGAUCAACCAUGAUUUCAGAGGACUAUUGAUGAAAAGUGCUACCUAUCACCUGACAUAGAGGUGAUGAACUAAAUAUACAAAGUGAGACACUUAUUUUUGAACAUAGCCAGCAUAGAGAUUCAUUUUGCUUAACUAUGCUUAUUUGUUACAAGGGUAUUGUUUUUUUCUCUUUUUUUUUCCCAGUGGGGGAGAGGGGAGUUAGAAGGAAAAAGAAUAAAUGCUUGAUAAUUGCCAAAAUAAUUUUAAAAUCUUUUUUUAAAAAGAGAGCACAAAAUGCCAGAGGAUUCUAGAACUAUACCACUUAAGAAAAGCUUUAUUACUUAUCAUUGGGAUUAUAGGAUUUAAAGCUGUCAGGAACCUUAAAAAGCAUCUAUUUCAGAACUCUCAUUUUAUAAUAGAAGAAAAAGAGGCCCAGGAGAUUAAGUGACUUGCCCACAGACACAAAAGCCAAUAUAGUCUUAACUAUAAAUGGCCCUCAUUCCAUUAUACCAUCUUUCCCUAAAUGACUCAGUUCCUCAAAAUAGUACUUGAGAUUUAUCUAGCCUGUUAAGAAAUCCAAAAACUGGAAAAGAUCUCAUGAUUCAGUCAGAAUUUCACCUAAAACAUUAAAGUAGGAUAGGACCAUCUGUUUUAAAGCCCUACAAGGAAUAAUGUAUUGACUAUUGUAGUUUAUUUCAGUAUUUAAUCAUGCUUAAUGUUAGGUUGAUUUUCCUCAUCUCUAACUUAAAUUGCACUCUAAUUUCAACCCAUUUCCAGUUAGUAGUGACUGAAAAAAGUCUUCCAGUAGUAUUUUAGGCUCUACAAGAAAGUAAUCGUCAUGAUUUUUUACCUUUCCCCAUUGGUUCAACUUCCCAUCCUUUUAAUUGUUGUUGUAAACCUUUGGACUCUUUCCAGUUUCUCUAUAUCCCUCAAAAUCUAGAACAGCGGUUCUCAACCUGUGGGUCACAACCCAAAGGGGGGGGGGUGGAACGACCAAAACACAGGGGUUGCCUAAAGCCAUCAGAAAAUACAUAUUUCCGAUGGCUUUAGCCGCUGAGAAAUCGCGCUACUUUACAGCAAGAUCUCGGAAAGAACGGGGACCCUGCUGCCCGUACAUUGUACUAAUAUUAGUUACCUAUCAGCAGCCCUCCCCCUAUGAGGGGCAAUGGAUUUACCCUGUUGCCUGGAAACCGAACUCAAACAGAGACCCAGAGAGAGCAUCCGGGCUCUGGCUCCGGAGGGAUUAAGAACGAGUCCUGGAGUAGAUAACGGAGCCAAGUAACCCCAGCAAAGUGAAGCCUCAGCUCGAGCUGGAGGGAGACGACAGGAAGAAGAAGGCAGUGUCUGCAGACCCCCUCCCCAGGCAGGACUUACCUCCCGCUGGAUUAAUAUUUCUCAACAUAUAAUUAAAUAUUGUUUUUGUGAUUAAUCACUGUUUAAAUUAUGUUUGAUUUGUAGCAAUGAGAAUAUAUAAUGCAUAUCAGGUAUUUACAUUCUUAAUCAUAACUGUAGCAAAAUUACAGUUUUGAAGUAGCCACCAAAAUAACUUUUUGGUUUGGGGUCACCGCAACAUGAGGAACUGUAUUGCGGGGUCACAGCAUUAGAAAGGUUGAGAACCAUUGAUCUAGAGCCUAUAAUAGUGUUAGGCAUUCACUGGUAAAUGGUAUGUAAUCAUUGGAUUUAGAUAAUACAUUAUUAGUAUGGACAUAAUAAAGACCUACCAUAGAAUUGGAGAUUAGAUUUUUUUUGUGGCUCUUCUGUAGUUCAUGUUGUAGCUUUCCACAAAAGUAUAUUCUAUUCAAAUUGUGAGGCGGUGUUCCUUGUUUCUAUAAUUCUGUCUAAAUCUCAUAUUGUAACUUUUUAGUUUGUUUCUUUUUUUAAUUUUACUAAGAAAAAAGGAACCGUAUGUGAAGAUAUGAAUCUAUAUUAUGAACAACUUGCUCUUCAAGUAUGUAAUAAAUUUAACAUUAUUUUCAAA